rnacentral:rRNA from 1 species
CCCUUAGAUGUUCUGGGCUGCACACAUGCUACACUGGCAGGUUCAGCGAGCUUCAUGCCCUGAUCUGAAAGGAAUGGGAAAUCUUUUCAAAACCUGCCGUGCUUGGGAUAGAUGUUUGCAAUUAUUCAUCUUCAACGAGGAUUGCCUUGUAAGCGCACGUCAUCAGCGUGCAUUGAAUACGACCCUGUAUUCUGUACACACCGCCCGUCGCUCCUACCGAUUGAAGUUUUCGGUGAGUUGACAGGAGGAUUUUUUUGAAACUGGUUCGCCAGUGGAUUUUAGAUCCAAAUGCCAACGAAUCGAUGGCUUUAGAGGAAGGAGAAGUCGUAACA